AUUGAACGCUGGCGGCAUGCUUUACACAUGCAAGUCGAACGGCAGCACGGGGCAACCUGGUGGCGAGUGGCGAACGGGUGAGUAAUACAUCGGAACGUGCCCAGUCGUGGGGGAUAACGUAGCGAAAGCUACGCUAAUACCGCAUACGAUCUACGGAUGAAAGCGGGGGAUCGCAAGACCUCGCGCGAUUGGAGCGGCCGAUGGCAGAUUAGGUAGUUGGUGGGGUAAAGGCUCACCAAGCCGACGAUCUGUAGCUGGUCUGAGAGGACGACCAGCCACACUGGGACUGAGACACGGCCCAGACUCCUACGGGAGGCAGCAGUGGGGAAUUUUGGACAAUGGGCGCAAGCCUGAUCCAGCCAUUCCGCGUGCAGGAUGAAGGCCCUCGGGUUGUAAACUGCUUUUGUACGGAACGAAAAGGCUCUGGUUAAUACCUGGGGCUCAUGACGGUACCGUAAGAAUAAGCACCGGCUAACUACGUGCCAGCCGCCGCCGUAACAC
rnacentral:rRNA from 1 species